AUUGAACGCUGGCGGCAGGCCUAAAACAUGCAAGUCGAGCGGAGCGGCGGACGGGUGAGUAAUGCCUAGGAAUCUGCAUGGUAGUGGGGGAUAACGUCCGGAAACGGGCGCUAAUACCGCAUAAUAUCAGAUGAGCCUAGGUGGGAUUAGCUAGUUGGUGGUGUAAAGGCCUACCAAGGCGAAGAUCCGUAACUGGUCUGAGAGGAUGAUCAGUCACACUGGAACUGAGACACGGUCCAGACUCCUACGGGAGGCAGCAGUGGGGAAUAUUGGACAAUGGGCGAAAGCCUGAUCCAGCCAUGCCGCGUGUGUGAAGAAGGUCUUCGGAUUGUAAAGCACUUUAAGUUGGGAGGCGUUACCAACAGAAUAAGCACCGGCUAACUUCGUGCCAGCAGCCGCGGUAAUUC
rnacentral:rRNA from 1 species